rnacentral:rRNA from 1 species
UCCGGUGGCGAUAGCGAGGAGGCCACACCCGUUCCCAUCCCGAACACGGUCGUUAAGCUCCUCAGCGCCAAUGGUACUGCGCGGGCAAUUGCGUGGGAGAGUAGGUCGCCGCCGGAU